GGUCUCAGUUCGGAUUGCAGGCUGGAACUCGCCUGCAUGAAGUUGGAUUCGCUAGUAAUCGCGCAUCAGCCACGGCGCGGUGAAUACGUUCCCGGGCCUUGUACACACCGCCCGUCAAGCCAUGAAAGCCGGGGGGUACCUGAAGUGCGUAACCGCGAGGAGCGCCCUAGGGUAAAACUGGUGAUUGGGGCUAAGUCGUAACAAGGUAGC
rnacentral:rRNA from 1 species